rnacentral:rRNA from 1 species
UGGGGAAUUUUGGACAAUGGGCGCAAGCCUGAUCCAGCCAUACCGCGUGAGUGAAGAAGGCCUUCGGGUUGUAAAGCUCUUUCAGACGGAAAGAAACGGUUACGGCUAAUACCCGUGACUAAUGACGGUACUAUUUAUAAGGUCCGGCUAACUACGUGCCAGCAGCCGCGGUAAUACGUAGGGACCAAGCGUUGUUCGGAUUUACUGGGCGUAAAGGGCGCGUAGGCGGCAUGACAAGUCACUUGUGAAAUCUCUGGGCUUAACCCAGAACGGCCAAGUGAUACUGUCGCGCUAGAGUGCAGAAGGGGCAAUCGGAAUUCUUGGUGUAGCGGUGAAAUGCGUAGAUAUCAAGAGGAACACCUGAGGUGAAGACGGGUUGCUGGGCUGACACUGACGCUGAGGCGCGAAAGCCAGGGGAGCAAACGGGAUUAGAUACCCAAGUAGUCCCUGAGCGGGCUGGCAAGGCGCAU